CUUAUCUUAGCUGGACAUGCGGUCAGUAAGGGCUAUGGACAGACAGGUGGCCCUCUGUUUCCUGGCUUUCUACAUGACAUAUGCCAGUGGACUGAAGGUCCUCACGCAGCCCAAUGUUCUAUUUGUGACUCUGGGGGACACAGCCACACUGGACUGUAACAUACAGAAAGAUGAAAACUACUACAUGUCAUGGGUGAAGCAGGUUCCCAGCCGUCCUCCACAGCAUAUUAUGUCUUUCUAUCACUCCUGGAGUAAUCCUCGGUAUUAUGGAACAGGCUUCUCUUCCAUCCGGUUUACUGGAAAGGCCAACAACAAAACCAAUUACCAGUUAAUAAUCAGUAAAGUGGAGGCAUCAGACAGUGCUGGGUAUUAUUGUCACACCAAAGAUAGCUCUGUCGAUACUGAGGUAUCACACUGA